rnacentral:rRNA from 11 species
UUCAAUGGUCCCGAUUCCUUGGCCCUAAAGGUACUAGAUCCCAUUUGAUCUUGGAAGCUAAACAGACCCAGCCCUGCUUAGUACAUGGAUGGGAAACUACCAUCAAACACCAGGUAUUGUUGGCU